rnacentral:rRNA from 1 species
AGAGUUUGAUCAUGGCUCAGGAUGAACGCUAGCGGCAGGCCUAAUACAUGCAAGUCGAGGGGUAAAUAUGUAGCAAUAUAUAUGAGACCGGCGCACGGGUGCGUAACACGUAUGCAACCUACCUUAUACAGGGGCAUAGCUCAGAGAAAUCUGAAUUAAUUCCCCAUAUUUCCCGAUGAUGGCAUCAUUGACGGGACAAAGCUCCGGCGGUAUAAGAUGGGCAUGCGUUGCAUUAGCUAGUUGGUGAGGUAAUGGCUCACCAAGGCUACGAUGCAUAGGGGGUCUGAGAGGAUGAUCCCCCACACUGGUACUGAGACACGGACCAGACUCCUACGGGAGGCAGCAGUAGGGAAUAUUGGUCAAUGGACGCAAGUCUGAACCAGCCAUGCCGCGUGCAGGAUGACGGUCCUAUGGAUUGUAAACUGCUUUUUUACGGGAAGAAACCCCUGGAUGCGUCCGGGGCUGACGGUACCGUACGAUAAGGAUCGGCUAACUUCGUGCCAGCAGCCGCGGUAAGAC